UGGUGGGGUAAUGGCUUACCAAGACUAUGACACAUAACUGGUUUGAGAGGAUGAUCAGUCACACUGGAACUGAGACACGGUCCAGACUCCUACGGGAGGCAGCAGUGGGGAAUAUUGCACAAUGGACGGAAGUCUGAUGCAGCAACGCCGCGUGGAGGAUGACACAUUUCGGUGCGUAAACUCCUUUUAUAUAAGAAGAUAAUGACGGUAUUAUAUGAAUAAGCACCGGCUAACUCCGUGCCAGCAGCCGCGGUAAUACGGGGGGUGCAAGCGUUACUCGGAAUCACUGGGCGUAAAGAGCAUGUAGGCGGAUUAAUAAGUUUGAAGUGAAAUCCUAUAGCUUAACUAUAGAACUGCUUUGAAAACUGUUGAUCUAAAAUGUGGGAGAGGUAGAUGGAAUU
rnacentral:rRNA from 1 species